GACGAACGCUGGCGGCGUGCUUAACACAUGCAAGUCGAACGGAAAGGCCCUGCUUUUGUGGGGUGCUCGAGUGGCGAACGGGUGAGUAACACGUGAGUAACCUGCCCUUGACUUUGGGAUAACUUCAGGAAACUGGGGCUAAUACCGGAUAGGAGCUCCUGCUGCAUGGUGGGGGUUGGAAAGUUUCGGCGGUUGGGGAUGGACUCGCGGCUUAUCAGCUUGUUGGUGGGGUAGUGGCUUACCAAGGCUUUGACGGGUAGCCGGCCUGAGAGGGUGACCGGCAACAUUGGGACUGAGAUACGGCCCAGACUCCUACGGGAGGCAGCAGUGGGGAAUAUUGCACAAUGGGCGGAAGCCUGAUGCAGCAACGCCGCGUGCGGGAUGACGGCCUUCGGGUUGUAAACCGCUUUCGCCUGUGGCGAAGCGUGAGUGACGGUAAUGGGUAAAGAAGCACCGGCUAACUACGUG
rnacentral:rRNA from 1 species